ACUCCUACGGGAGGCAGCAGUGAGGAAUAUUGGACAAUGGGCGGAAGCUUGAUCCAGCCAUGCCGCGUGCAGGAAGACUGCCCUAUGGGUUGUAAACUGCUUUUAUACAGGAAGAAUAAGUCCGACGUGUCGGAUGAUGACGGUACUGUAAGAAUAAGGAUCGGCUAACUCCGUGCCAGCAGCCGCGGUAAUACGGAGGAUUCGAGCGUUAUCCGGAAUCAUUGGGUUUAAAGGGUUCGUAGGCGGGUUUGUAAGUCAGGGUGGAAAGAUUACGGUCUCAACCAGUGAAAAUUGCCUUUGAUACUGCAGAUCUUGAAUAUUUGUGAAGUAACUAGAAUAUGUGGUGUAGCGGUGAAAUGCAUAGAUAUCACAUGGAAUACCGAUUGCGAAGGCAGGUUACUAACAGAUUAUUGACGCUGAUGGACGAAAGCGUGGGUAGCGAACAGGAUUAGAUACCC
rnacentral:rRNA from 1 species